rnacentral:rRNA from 1 species
AUGCACGCUGGCGGCGUGCCUAAUACAUGCAAGUCGAGCGAACAGACGAGAGUGCUUGCACUCUCUGACGUUAGCGGCGGACGGGUGAGUAACACGUGGGUAACCUACCUAUAAGACUGGGAUAACUUCGGGAAACCGGAGCUAAUACCGGAUAAUAUUUAGCUUCGCAUGAAGCAAUAGUGAAAGACGGUUCUGCUGUCACUUAUAGAUGGACCCGCGGUGUAUUAGCUAGUUGGUGAGGUAACGGCUCACCAAGGCAACGAUACAUAGCCGACCUGAGAGGGUGAUCGGCCACACUGGGACUGAGACACGGCCCAGACUCCUACGGGAGGCAGCAGUAGGGAAUCUUCCGCAAUGGACGAAAGUCUGACGGAGCAAUGCCGCGUGAGUGAAGAAGGUUUUCGGAUCGUAAAACUCUGUUGUAAGGGAAGAACAAGUACGUUAGUAACUGAACGUACCUUGACGGUACCUUACCAGAAAGCCACGGCUAACUACGUG